rnacentral:lncRNA from 1 species
CAGGAGAUAACUUUAUUGAAACGCAAAUGGCAGCAAACAGAUGAAAUCUGCUGGAUGGAGACAUGCCUGGUCGGCAGAGGACCCAGGGAAGGGUAGCCUCAGUGGCGAUGGAGGAAGGCCAUUUCAGCUGGCCAAGGCAUGGAUUUCAUUUUCAACCAAUUUUUUUUCAUUUAAAAUGAAUUACUGAGGGGACAGCCCAGCUCUCUUCGUGAUUGUUACCGCAACUAUAUACAACAAUUUGCUUUCCAGAUUCAGUUCUGCCUUUUCUACAUCAGGUAUAAAAGGGGACAGACUGGAAUGGUGAGGGUCAAAUGAGAAGAAAAUAAGACAAACAUACAGACACACACAUAUCCUGGUUUGGGAUUUUUCUACCCAGUAAGUUUUAAAAAGUGAACAUUCUUGCCCAUCCUCCACCUGAGGAAUGCCGUGCAUUUGAGAAACAGACUCUUACAUGAGCAGUGCUGUGUAAAACAGGAUAGGGAGGGGGAGGAAAGGAAGCCACCAGGGCCUGGAACUCACUAUAAAUUUGUUUUGUUAAAAGCAAUAAACCGAACAGCAUUAGGAAGUGGGGUGGGGUGCAGCAGAGCUAUAUGGGAAACUGGCUGCUGGGUGGGAGUUUGCUCUUUUUUAUCUUCCUUCUUAGAGAAAUGCCAUGGAAGCAGGAUGGUGUCACAGGAGCUGGGAGGCAGGGAGGCAGGAUGAGGCCACAGGAGCUGGGAUGCAGGAUGAGGCCACAGGAGCUGGGAUGCAGGGAGGCAGGAUGAGGUCACAGGAGCUGGGAUGCAGGGAUGCAGGAUGAGGCCACAGGAGCUGGGAUGCAGGAUGAGGCCACAGGAGCUGGGAUGCAGGGAGGCAGGAUGAGGUCACAGGAGCUGGGAUGCAGGAUGAGGCCACAGGAGCUGGCUGGAUGGUAAGGAGGGUUAUUUUGGUGUAAAUGUUUUACUCCUGCUCGCCUUGGACUUUAGUCCCUCCUUCCAGUGCUUAGUCCCUGAGCUCAGGAGACCCGAUACUAGUGAUUUUUAAUACUCUACACAAAAGUGCUUUUA